UGCUUGAUGGAUCUGCAGCUGCUUGGCUUA
rnacentral:piRNA from 1 species